GACGAACGCUGGCGGCGUGCUUAACACAUGCAAGUCGAACGGUGAACCAGAGCUUGCUCUGGGGAUCAGUGGCGAACGGGUGAGUAACACGUGGGCAACCUGCCCCAGACUCUGGGAUAACCUCGGGAAACCGAUGCUAAUACCGGAUACGACCACUUCGGACAUCCGACGGUGGUGGAAAGUUUUUCGGUCUGGGAUGGGCCCGCGGCCUAUCAGCUAGUUGGUGGGGUAAUGGCCUACCAAGGCGACGACGGGUAGCCGGCCUGAGAGGGCGACCGGCCACACUGGAACUGAGACACGGUCCAGACUCCUACGGGAGGCAGCAGUGGGGAAUAUUGCACAAUGGGCGAAAGCCUGAUGCAGCGACGCCGCGUGAGGGACGACGGCCUCGGUUGGUAACGUACGUUCUAGCAGGACGGAAGAC
rnacentral:rRNA from 1 species